GGCGGACGGGUGAGUAAUGCCUAGGAAAUUGCCUUGAUGUGGGGGAUAACCAUUGGAAACGAUGGCUAAUACCGCAUAAUGCCUACGGGCCAAAGAGGGGGACCUUCGGGCCUCUCGCGUCAAGAUAUGCCUAGGUGGGAUUAGCUAGUUGGUGAGGUAAUGGCUCACCAAGGCGACGAUCCCUAGCUGGUCUGANAGGAUGAUCAGCCACACUGGAACUGAGACNCGNUCCAGACUCCUACGGGAGGCAGCAGUGNNNAAUAUUGC
rnacentral:rRNA from 1 species